CCUACGGGAGGCAGCAGUAGGGAAUAUUGCUCAAUGGGGGAAACCCUGAACCAGCAACGCCGCGUGGAGGAUGAAGGCUUUCGGAUUUUAAACUCCCUUUGGUAGAGAAGAUAAUGACGGUAUCUAACGAAUAAGCACCGGCUAACUCCGUGCCAGCAGCCGCGGUAAUACGGAGGGUGCAAGCGUUACUCGGAAUCACUGGGCGUAAAGCGCGCGUAGGCGGGUUAGCAAGUCAGAUGUGAAAUCCUAUGGCUUAACCAUAGAACUGCAUUUGAAACUGUUAUUCUAGAGUUUGGGAGAGGUAGGUGGAAUUCUUGGUGUAGGGGUGAAAUGCGUAGAGAUCAAGAGGAACACUGAUUGCGAAGGCGACCUGCUAGAACAUAACUGACGCUGAGGCGCGAAAGCGUGGGGAGCAAACAGGAUUAGAUACCCCUGUAGUC
rnacentral:rRNA from 1 species